rnacentral:rRNA from 1 species
AUUGAACGCUGGCGGCAGGCCUAACACAUGCAAGUCGAACGAGUGGCGGACGGGUGAGUAAUGUCUGGGAAACUGCCUGAUGGAGGGGGAUAACUACUGGAAACGGUAGCUAAUACCGCAUACCAUCGGAUGUGCCCAGAUGGGAUUAGCUAGUUGGUGGGGUAAAGGCACACCUAGGCGACGAUCCCUCGCUGGUCUGAGAGGAUGAACAGCAACACUGGAACUGAGACACGGUCCAGACUCCUACGGGAGGCAGCAGUGGGUAAUAUUGCACAAUGGGGGCAAGCCUGACGCAGCCAUGCCGCGUGUAUGAAGAAGGCCUUCGGGUUGUAAAGUACUUUCAGCGAGGAGGCGUUACUCGCAGAAGAAGCACCGGCUAACUCCGUGCCAGCAGCCGCGGUAAUUC